UGAGUCCAGAUAUCUCCGUCCGCAGUCUCCCACAAAGAGAUCCACUGGCCAACAGCCAAUUACUCCAUCCUGGACUUCUCAACUUCACCAAUAGAAACCAGAUGGAGACUCAUACAACAAUGCUGUAUAGCCAGCACUUGAGAGAGAGAGCGAUAAAGAAAAAGAGAGGUGGUGACCAUAGACCUGCAUUAUAUGACUGACAGACAAGAACGGUUUGACCUAAAAAUAUCCAAAUUGAAACUUCUGCAGAAACAAAGACACCUACAUCUUGAAUGCCCUUGAGGAACGGGAGCAGAGCAGGAAUCAAACGUUUCCUCUCCUGUCUUCAUCAAUCACUCCUUAUUAAUCCAAACAUGCUGGAGAAGGCAGCCCUCGCUUCACUUGAGGAAAAAGGCCCGCUUUGUUUUCUGUUCUCAUUGAGUCAAGCCGGGUUUGAAAUGAACCCUCUCAAGGAAUCAAUGGGUUAAGAGCAUAGACUGUAAAAAAAGAUAAGCUAUAACUGUAUCUGUGAGAGAAAUGUGGAUCCAGGUGAGCGAUUCACAGAUGAAAUUGUACACAAAUGAUCAGACUUACCAUUUAAACUAAAAUUUAGAAUAAUAUGAGUUAUGAUUACCUUUAGAUGUUAUUUCAUUUAAUUAUUUCAUUUUGUGUUUUGAGAUGUAUCAUGGAAGCCAAUUCUGAGUAAAUAAUAAAAUAGGUAACUGCGAGAUAAAG